rnacentral:lncRNA from 1 species
CUACCCCCAUCCCCCAACCCUAGGAGCUCCCGCUCAGUGAGGUGCAAUUGUUGCUACCAGUGGCUGGCUGGAGUUCCACAUCAGCAGGUCUUAUCCUGAGGUGUUGUGGGAGUGGGGCCUGCAAACGGAUGCUACUCAUUCCCCUGGAUUCAGCCUUUUCCUAAGAGUGUAUACGAGGGUCUAACCUCCUGCCUUGCCAGAGUUUCAGCUGCUUUUUCCAGGAAGUUCAGAAAGCCUGAGUAUCUAAGCUCCUGCAUCUCUGCAUGUGCCCGAGUGGCUGCUCUGCCAAGCCUCCACUUAGCUCUCUGGUGUUAGACUAAAGGCCAUGGUGGAGUGGGUUCACAUGGGGAUCUCCUGACUCGAGGGUUGCAGAUAUCCACAGGAGACGCGUGGGUUCCCAGAGCCACACAUUCACUCACUGCUUCCCUGAGUGGGGGAGGUUACCCUGGCUUUGUGUUGCUCCCCAGUGGGCCAUCAUUCUGCCUUGCUUUUUUCUCUGUUCUCCGUGGGUCGAGUUGUUUUCUUGAUUAGUCUCAAUGUGAGCACCUGGUUGUUUCAGUUGAAGAUGUUGUAUUUACUCACUACUUUCAUUUUUCUCCAUGACAGCCAGGCACGCUACCUGCUUCUAGUGAGCCAACUUUUGAUUUUUUUCUAUACUAAGUUUCUAAUAAUUGGAUUAACUUCCCACAGGCUACAUAUUGUGCUGGUUGUGAAGAAUCAAAGUCUUGGGCUUUGUGUGAACAUUUUGCAGCAUCUGUUACUGGCUAUUCAAAGGUCUUGCCUUUGCCGCAGAAAGAACCCAAGCCAAGAAGAAUCUGAGUGUUUUUGUCUACACUGUGUUCAUCUCAAAGCAUUUAAGAAUCCAGGGAAGGGACUCUGGAAAGAUUGUGAGAUGGGCCUGGCAGCUUUACCUGUAUUACUUUGCCUUUUUUUGGAAAAUCUGAAGGCAGUGGGAAUCUGGCAGUCCUCCUGGGGCUUGUGGGCAAAUGUCAGUGUGUCUAGUGUGAUGGUGCAUGUUAGAGCUCCACCCCCUGUCAGCUGUACCAUCCAGAUUUUGUGAAACAAAUACUGCCUGUGAGUUAGUUGGGAAUCACUGCAUGCAGACUGGAGGAAUAGAGAUCAGUCACUGAAGGGUAUCUUGGCAAAAAAAAAAAAAAAAAAAA